UUUUAACCUCCCGCCUCAGCCCCGCUCAGCAAACAAAUCAUCCUUUGAAGGACACUGCAUUUGCAAAAGUGAAUUAGGCAGUUCUCCAGGAGGAUGACGACUUCUGCAGAGCCGGCAGCAGGGGCGGCCCAGGGUGGCGCUGUUCGUGGAGGGGUGUGUCGGCCUGGGGACCCGGUGAGGCCCUGCUGGCUGGACAGAGCAGAUUCCAAGAAACAAGAAAAAUGACACCCACCUCUGCAAGGAAAAACUGAGAUCAUGAGUGUGAGCCAUACCGUGUGACACCUGGCAGGAAACUAUGGCACCUGCUCGAUAAACUAUGGAGGCUAGUAAGAGGGUCACUCUUAUCAAGCUUAAUACAGUCGAUCAGCCACUCAAAUACUUGAUCGCAUUCUUAACACUUUCUUUUUCCUCUCCUUCUCCUCUGUUCUUCAAAAUUGGUGCUCCUCUUGGCUACAAUGAGAAUCGAAAA